rnacentral:rRNA from 1 species
CCUACGGGAGGCAGCAGUGGGGAAUAUUGCACAAUGGGGGAAACCCUGAUGCAGCAACGCCGCGUGAGCGAUGAAGGCCCUCGGGUCGUAAAGCUCUGUCCUAAGGGAAGAAUACUGACGGUACCUUAGGAGGAAGCCCCGGCUAACUACGUGCCAGCAGCCGCGGUAAUACGUAGGGGGCUAGCGUUAUCCGGAAUUACUGGGCGUAAAGGGUGCGUAGGCGGCCCUUCAAGUCAGAGGUGAAAGGCUACGGCUCAACCGUAGUAAGCCUUUGAAACUGUAGGGCUUGAGUGCAGGAGAGGGGAGGGGACUCCCAGUGUAGCGGUGAAAGGCGGAGAUAUUGGGAGGAACACCACUUGCGAAGGCGGCUCUCUGGCCUGUAACCGACCCUGAGGCACGAAAGCUUGGGGAGCGAACAGGAUUAAAAACCCCUGUAGUC